CGUCACUCACCCGCUGUUCCCACCCCCUCGCGCCGCUUCCGGAGCGCGUCGGGCGACAGUUUCCGGGCGUGCGGCGCACGCGCAGUGGCCUGACCUGGGGGGCGUGCCCUUGCCCGGCUGUUGUGCGUUUGCUGAUAUCCUCCAGACCGAACGCAGAGGCAAGAGCAGCGGUGGUUAUGAUACGGUGCCGGCAGCUUGACCUGCGAUCCAUUUCUCCUUGGAGCCUGGGGAUACUUUUUAAAGCUUGGCUUUGUGACUGCAGGGGCUCAGAUCAUGCCCCGACGGGCGCUGCAAGAGCCCGGGCACCAUGAGAACGAAGACGGCGCAGCCUUUCGGCUUCGGAGAAGUUUCCAAGGAAGUGUGUGUUGUCACUACAAGCGGUGCCCUUGUUUUCUGUCAUCAUUCAGCCCUUCAAGUGCUGCCGCCACCAUAUACAGUAGUGAUGGCAAUCACGUUAUCUGCUUCAUCUGCGGUUCCUGUCCAGCUCAUUUCCCAGAAACAUAUUGCCAAAUAAAGGCUUGUCCUGGCA